AUGUCCUUAUAGUCUAGGAAGUGGUCUUUAUUCAUGUUUUAUGUGUCAGACUCCCAGUGUAAGGAGGUGGUGGAGAUGCUGGAGCAGGAGGGUCUAGCAGAGAUCAGCCAGAGCAGUGCCAGUGAGCAGGUGGCCUAUCUGCUGGUGGAGAGAGUCACUCUGAUGGAGAGACUGGAGGCUGCGGAAAGAAAACUGGACACCCAGACCCUCACCGGCAACCUCAGAGAGGUGCAUCUUCAGGAAGAGCUGGAUCAUAUGCGUCACACAUUGGAAGAGGAACUCAGGCAGCAAAAGGAAAAUAUGAAUAAGGACCACAGUGAAGAGUUCAAUAGAGAAUGCACAGUGUGCCAGAGGCUGGAGAGGGAUCUGGAAGAGGCAUCGAGUCGUCUUGCUAUGGCACAUAAAGAGAUUCGCCACCUGAAGGAUGAACUAGAUCUCGCUCGUAAGGUCCAAAACGUGUGUGUACCUGACCUGCAGAAAACUGGGGAUGAAGUGGAGCAGUUGGAACAGGAAGUGGACAAGCUUAAACAGUGUGAUAUGGUGGAGCUGCAGAAGGCCAAGGAACGCAAUGAAAGAUUGGAUAGUGAGAUUUGCGUGCUAAGGUAUAGAGUUCGCUCCUUGGACACAGAGAGGAGGACUCUUCUUAAACUGGCAAGAAUAAUUUUUUUUUAA
rnacentral:lncRNA from 1 species